rnacentral:rRNA from 1 species
GACGAACGCUGGCGGCGUGCCUAAUACAUGCAAGUCGAGCGAAGUUUUUCUGGUGCUUGCACUAGAAAAACUUAGCGGCGAACGGGUGAGUAACACGUAAAGAACCUGCCUCAUAGACUGGGACAACUAUUGGAAACGAUAGCUAAUACCGGAUAACAGUAUUUCUCGCAUGAGAGAUAUUUAAAAGUUGGUUAUGCUAACACUAUGAGAUGGCUUUGCGGUGCAUUAGCUAGUUGGUGGGGUAAAGGCCCACCAAGGCGACGAUGCAUAGCCGACCUGAGAGGGUGAUCGGCCACACUGGGACUGAGACACGGCCCAGACUCCUACGGGAGGGAGCAGUAGGGAAUCUUCCGCAAAGGGCGAGAGCCUGACGGAGCAACGCCGCGUGAGUGAAGAAGGAUUUCGGUUCGUAAAGCUCUGUUGUUAGGGAAGAAUGGAUAUGUAGUAACUAUACAUGUAAGAGACGGUACCUAACCAGAAAGCCACGGCUAACUACGUG